UUACGAUUAGUAUUAGUAAUACGUGUGCCGCAACAGUGUUCUUCUAUUCAUUCCUCAAAGUUUUUAUUGCGUAGUCAUUUAUUAUUCAUCAAUCGUCAGUAAAACUUACUUUUAUAGAAAUCAAGUAAUGUCACAUAUUGUGUGGGUGGUUUUUAAAAUAAUGGAAAUAGUUUUUUUUUUUGUAUAGUGGGACAGUGGUGCAAAUGUGUGAAAGUGUCUAAAAGAAUCAUUCAGAUGUUGAACUGGAAAAUAAAAAAGGAACUGAUUAAAUAUAAAUAUAUAGCAGAAAACAUCGAAGCUUGUUCGCCAUUAGGAUUGAAAAAUGGAGAUUUGAUGGCAAAGCGCGACGAGUAUUCACGAGAGAGGGUCGACAGCGGUGAAAGAGCGAGGAGGGCGCGAGGGAGCUGAAAAUUCCCAGGAGACGCAUCUUCCACAUUUCAUUGGGACCAAACCACUCUUUCAACGGAGCCUGAGCUGCUUUUUCAGCAAGGCUCAGCUUUUUCGCCAGCCGAGCUGUUCACGAUCCUGAUCCCAUAAGCGGCCACGCAUGCGCCCUUUGGUUGCGCAGUUGGCGGGAAACGGAGGACAUUUGACGAUCGAUAGAGCACACAACCACCGCGGGGCCCCUCCCAUCAUCGUUUGCAUCCCCGAUAUUGUCACAACCUACUUGUCAUAAGCCGUUGCGCCUUUUGCCUGUCUGUCAUCGCGGUAUGAUCGCUAAUCUGUUUCCGUGCCGAAGUGGUGAAGCCACAGCCACCAGUCACGACGACAUCAAUGGAGACGUUUUUCCGUGUCCAAACGGUUACGUUUCGCAAACAACAAUCACGUGGAACAGCUUUAGCGACUCGAAGGAGAUAAAUGGAAGGAAAUUGCAUCGGGAGCAUUUGAUUCGCUGGAUUGAGCAAGGAGGAAUUGUUCUGUCCGAUAUUACAUGGGAUUGAAUAGCGAAUCAGUUCGUCGCCUAGAAGAUCAACGUUCAAACUUCUUAAAAUAACUAAGUGAGUUGAAAACAUAAGGUAUGUACCUACACCUUUUUAAUUUAAUAGUGAACAUCUUUUUCCAUUUAUAUAUAUCAACACUCCAUUCAACCAGAUUCCCGAGUGCGAUAUUUCAUGAAAAUAUUCCCUAUAUCAUUAAAUGUGAGAUACAUUUUUUCCGUUUUGGGGUUUCUCUGAUUGUUAGAAUUUUUGAACACUAUUCAUAAAAAAGGCUUUCUGCCUUUGUUCUAAUUAAUAUCAUAUUAAAUUAGGCAAUAGCUCAAAUGAUGCGUUAAAUAUGAAAGUUGAAGUCAAAUGAUGGAUCAUUAAAGUCUCUCAUUCUCAUAUGGAAGUCCAACAAGUUAAUCUUUAUUUAUGGUGAAUCGAUGGUUCUUAUAUCCUCUGCCAUUCUAUG